UAAUCCGACCUAGGCUCAUCUGAUAGCGCAAGGCCCGAAGGUCCCCUGCUUUCUCCCGUAGGACGUAUGCGGUAUUAGCGUCCCUUUCGAAACGUUGUCCCCCACUACCAGGCAGAUUCCUAGGCAUUACUCACCCGUCCGCCGCUCUCAAGAGAAGCAAGCUUCUCUCUACCGCUCGACUUGCAUGUGUUAGGCCUGCCGCCAGCGUUCAAUCUGAGCCAGGAUCAAACUCU
rnacentral:rRNA from 1 species